rnacentral:rRNA from 1 species
UAGGGAAUCCUCGGCAAUGGACGAAAGUCUGACCGAGCAACGCCGCGUGAGUGAAGAAGGUUUUCGGAUCGUAAAACUCUGUUGUUAGAGAAGAACAAGGACGUUAGUAACUGAACGUCCCCUGACGGUAUCUAACCAGAAAGCCACGGCUAACUACGUGCCAGCAGCCGCGGUAAUACGUAGGUGGCAAGCGUUGUCCGGAUUUAUUGGACGUAAAGCGAGCGCAGGCGGUUUCUUAAGUCUGAUGUGAAAGCCCCCGGCUCAACCGGGGAGGGUCAUUGGAAACUGGGAGACUUGAGUGCAGAAGAGGAGAGUGGAAUUCCAUGUGUAGCGGUGAAAUGCGUAGAUAUAUGGAGGAACACCAGUGGCGAAGGCGGCUCUCUGGUCUGUAACUGACGCUGAGGCUCGAAAGCGUGGGGAGCAAACAGG